UGCUAGACAGCCUGGAUCCAUGACAAGAUCAAUUAUCAGCAGAGAAAGCAGCCACCACAGAGCUUCUUAAUGCUGCCCAACUCUCCUUGAUCCCCAGUUCUUCUCACCUCCCCAUUUCUUACCAACUCCUCAGUGAAGGAAGUUUCCUUUGGAUUCUCUUGAGGAACAAGAGAACUCAGAUCUUAUGUGAUAGAUCCAUUAUGAGACAUGCCCACUUCUCCAAAAAUCAAAAGAUCUGAAUUCCUUAUCUAACCCUCCAACCAGGCUGCUCUCAUAUCUCCAACUUUUCUUUAUAGUAGGACAUUCCCCCAACAAGGUUCUAGGAGCUAUUUAGGAGUUAUUAGGACUGGCCUCCAGUACCCCGACAAAGUUCUAAUCCCUUAUCUAGUUUUAUAUUCUGUUCGCUUUCUCACUCAUCCUUGGUUCAACAACAGCAAGAUCUGCUUCCAAGCAAACAUUCCUGAUUCCUAUGGGUUCUUAUUGAUCAGGUCCCUUGGUGAAUAACCCAUCUCUUCCCUUAGAAGGGCCAGCAUUUUCCCAGUUGGAUCCUGCUGAGAAUCAAUCCUGGUUAUUGUUCUAGUGGCCAGUAGGGAAGGUGAGAGCGGAUUUCGAGAAGAUAUUGUCUUGUAAGAGAUUUGUCACCAUUUAAAUCUCUUAAUAUACCUUAGGCAGAGCAGUCUACUCUAUUCUAGAAAGGAUUACUAGAAUGCUUUUCUGUACUCUAGGCAGAGAGGGAUCAGGGGAAUCUGAUGAUUCAGUGUUUCCAGGUAUACACUCAGAUGUUUUUAUUCCAAGUCUCAGGAUCCCAUUGUUUCCUCUCAAGACUUUGAUUUUGGCAUAGGAGACCUCAGUUUUCCCUGAAGUUUUGCUUCACUUAUUAUCAGAUGCUAGGUCUCAUCUUCAGCAUGGUCUUCUCUCCUACUAUAUGAGGAAUGAUCACUUUAAACAUUGCUAAGAUCACCUUCUGACUAUCAACCCUUCCUUAAAUUAGUAGUUGGCUGACUUGUGUUGUCAUUUCUGUCUUCAGUGCAGCCAGAGCAUUC
rnacentral:lncRNA from 1 species